rnacentral:lncRNA from 1 species
CUCAGAGUUCCCAGGGCCCAGAAGGGUACACAACCAACCAGCCCAGGGACACCAAGGCUCUGUCUCUAUCCCACAAACAAAACCUGCGAUGCUGCAUUGAGGUCACUGCCCAGCACCACCUGCCCGGCCUCCAGGUUCAAGCCCCAGGAAAGUCAGAAUAGAAGAAAAUAGAAGUGAGCAGUAAGCAAACUCCAUUAGGGUGGAUGGAGAGGAAGAGACUAAGGAUUCACACAUCACGAAGACAUUUGUGGAAGACGGAGUGUGUUUCCAUUAUCCUUUCAGAGUUUGCAAACGAGGCGGUGCCCAGCAUAGACAGGUUCUCUGCCCACCCAUCCUGAAUCCACAAGGCCACAGAUGCAGAAAGGAUAUUUAAUAAAGUUCAACACUGAGUCCUGACAAACACUGCAAGAAAGCUCAAACGGAAAGGAAGUUCCUUACUGUGAUUGAGAAUAUAUCAUACUUCUGGUAUGCUACUGAAAGCUUCUGAGGUUGGGGAUAAGACAAGGGCUCUGUCUGUCACCAUUUCUCUUGAACCUUACAAUGGAAUUUGGCACUAUGGGAGUUGCAAAUCAACACAGUGGCCACUCAAGGAGAAGCAAGGGGUGGCUGGAAGGAGAGGUGCCCCUGGAGUUCUGUAAAAUCUGCUUCUUGAUGUGCCUUUGAGUGUUCUCUUUGUGUAAAUUCUUUGAACUGCACUCUUAUGAUUUGUGCAUAUUUCCCUAUGAAAAUUAUACCUCAAUAAAAUAUUGACUUAAAUAACA